UGCGACUGGUGAGUACGCA
rfam:Rhodotorula toruloides ATCC 204091 scaffold00012, whole genome shotgun sequence.